rnacentral:rRNA from 1 species
UACGGAGGGAGCUAGCGUUAUUCGGAAUUACUGGGCGUAAAGCGCACGUAGGCGGCUUUGUAAGUUAGAGGUGAAAGCCCAGAGCUCAACUCUGGAAUUGCCUUUGAUACUGCAUCGCUUGAAUCCAGGAGAGGUGAGUGGAAUUCCGAGUGUAGAGGUGAAAUUCGUAGAUAUUCGGAAGAACACCAGUGGCGAAGGCGGCUCACUGGACUGGUAUUGACGCUGAGGUGCGAAAGCGUGGGGAGCAAACAGGG